rnacentral:rRNA from 1 species
GAUGAACGCUGGCGGCGUGCCUAAUACAUGCAAGUCGAGCGAACAGACGAGGAGCUUGCUCCUCUGACGUUAGCGGCGGACGGGUGAGUAACACGUGGAUAACCUACCUAUAAGACUGGGAUAACUUCGGGAAACCGGAGCUAAUACCGGAUAAUAUAUUGAACCGCAUGGUUCAAUAGUGAAAGACGGUUUUGCUGUCACUUAUAGAUGGAUCCGCGCCGCAUUAGCUAGUUGGUAAGAUAACGGCUUACCAAGGCAACGAUGCGUAGCCGACCUGAGAGGGUGAUCGGCCACACUGGAACUGAGGCACGGUCCAGACUCCUACGGGAGGCAGCAGUAGGGAAUCUUCCGCAAUGGGCGAAAGCCUGACGGAGCAACGCCGCGUGAGUGAUGAAGGUCUUCGGAUCGUAAAACUCUGUUAUUAGGGAAGAACAAAUGUGUAAGUAACUAUGCACGUCUUGACGGUACCUAAUCAGAAAGCCACGGCUAACUACGUG